CACUAGCCCCGAUAGUAGCGGCAUCCUUUUUUGUUUUUUCUUGUAAAUUUCUACUGAUGACAAAUCGUCGUAAAACAAAAAAGAUAUAGCGGAUAGCGGGAAAUAGC
rnacentral:sRNA from 1 species